ACCAGACUCCUACGGGAGGCAGCAGUGAGGAAUAUUGGUCAAUGGGAGAGAUCCUGAACCAGCCAAGCCGCGUGAGGGAAGACGGCCCUAUGGGUUGUAAACCUCUUUUGUCGGAGAACAAAACCCGGGACGUGUCCCGGACUGCGUGUAUCCGAAGAAAAAGCAUCGGCUAACUCCGUGCCAGCAGCCGCGGUAAUACGGAGGAUGCGAGCGUUAUCCGGAUUUACUGGGUGUAAAGGGCGCGUAGGCGGGACUGCAAGUCAGAUGUGAAAAUUAUGGGCUCAACCCAUAACCUGCAUUUGAAACUGUAGUUCUUGAGUGAUGGAGAGGCAGGCGGAAUUCCGUGUGUAGCGGUGAAAUGCGUAGAUAUACGGAGGAACACCAGUGGCGAAGGCGGCCUGCUGGACAUUAACUGACGCUGAGGCGCGAAAGCGUGGGGAGCAAACAGGAUUAGAUACCCCCGUA
rnacentral:rRNA from 1 species